GGGGAAUUUUCCGCAAUGGGCGAAAGCCUGACGGAGCAAUACCGCGUGAGGGAUGAAGGCCUAUGGGUUGUAAACCUCUUUUUUCAGGGAGGAAUCAAUGACGUGUACUUGAAGAAUAAGCAUCGGCUAACUCCGUGCCAGCAGCCGCGGUAAGACGGAGGAUGCAAGUGUUAUCCGGAAUCACUGGGCGUAAAGCGUCUGUAGGUGGUCCAAUAAGUCAACUGUUAAAUCUUGAGGCUCAACCUCAAAAUCGCAGUCGAAACUAUUAGACUAGAGUAUAGUAGGGGUAAAGGGAAUUUCCAGUGGAGCGGUGAAAUGCGUAGAGAUUGGAAAGAACACCGAUGGCGAAGGCACUUUACUGGGCUAUUACUAACACUCAGAGACGAAAGCUAGGGUAGCAAAUGGGAUUAGAUACCCCAGUAGUC
rnacentral:rRNA from 1 species